rnacentral:rRNA from 1 species
GAUGAUUCAUUUGAAUUUCCGCCCUAUCAACUUCGAUGGCACUAUAGAGGAGUGCCAUGGUAAUGACGGGUGACGGGGAAUUAGGGUUCGAUUCCGGAGAGGGGGCCUGAGAGAUGGCCACCACUUCUAAGGAGGGCAGCAGGCGCGCAAAUUACCCAAUCCCAACACGGGGAGGUAGUGACAAUAAAUAACAACGCGGGGUCUUCGACAAGAAGUCUCGCGAUUGGAAUGAGUACAAUGUAAAAGCCUUAACGAGUAACAAUUGGAGGGCAAGUCUGGU